rnacentral:rRNA from 1 species
UACGGGGGGGGCAAGCGUUGUUCGGAAUUACUGGGCGUAAAGGGCUCGUAGGUGGCCAACUAAGUCGGACGUGAAAUUCCUCAGCUUAACUGGGGAACUGCGUCCGAUACUGGAUGGCUUGAGUUUGGGAGAGGGAUGCGGAAUUCCAGGUGUAGCGGUGAAAUGCGUAGAUAUCUGGAGGAACACCGGUGGCGAAGGCGGCAUCCUGGACCGGCAUUGACGCUGAGGCGCGAAAGCCAGGGGAGCAAACGGG